rnacentral:rRNA from 1 species
AUGCCUUACACAUGCAAGUCGAACGGUAACAGGUCUUCGGACGCUGACGAGUGGCGAACGGGUGAGUAAUACAUCGGAACGUGCCCAGUCGUGGGGGAUAACUACUCGAAAGAGUAGCUAAUACCGCAUACGAUCUGAGGAUGAAAGCGGGGGACCUUCGGGCCUCGCGCGAUUGGAGCGGCCGAUGGCAGAUUAGGUAGUUGGUGGGAUAAAAGCUUACCAAGCCGACGAUCUGUAGCUGGUCUGAGAGGACGACCAGCCACACUGGGACUGAGACACGGCCCAGACUCCUACGGGAGGCAGCAGUGGGGAAUUUUGGACAAUGGGCGAAAGCCUGAUCCAGCAAUGCCGCGUGCAGGAUGAAGGCCUUCGGGUUGUAAACUGCUUUUGUACGGAACGAAAAAGCUUCUCCUAAUACGAGAGGCCCAUGACGGUACCGUAAGAAUAAGCACCGGCUAACUACGUGCCAGCAGCCGCGGUAAUACGUAGGGUGCGAGCGUUAAUCGGAAUUACUGGGCGUAAAGCGUGCGCAGGCGGUUAUGUAAGACAGAUGUGAAAUCCCCGGGCUCAACCUGGGAACUGCAUUUGUGACUGCAUGGCUAGAGUACGGUAGAGGGGGAUGGAAUUCCGCGUGUAGCAGUGAAAUGCGUAGAUAUGCGGAGGAACACCGAUGGCGAAGGCAAUCCCCUGGACCUGUACUGACGCUCAUGCACGAAAGCGUGGGG